AAGGGAGAGAGGUAGGGAGAGAGGUAGGGAGAGAGGUAGAGAGAGAGGUAGGGAGAGAGGUAGGGAGAGAGGUAGGGAGAGAGGUAGAGAGAGAGGUAGAGAGAGAGGUAGGGAGAGAGGUAGGGAGAGAGGUAGAGAGAGAGGUAGAGAGAGAGGUAGGGAGAGAGGUAGGGAGAGAGAAAAUACUUGAAUCAGUCAUAGAGCCCAUUGCCCUUUACGGUGGUGAGGUCUGGGGUCCGCUCACCAACCAAGACUUCACAAAAUGGGACAAAUGCCAAAUUGAGACUCUGCAUACAGAAUUCUGCAGAAAUAUACAACGUAGAACACCAAAUAAUGCAUGCAGAGCAGAAUUAGGACGAUACCCACUAAUUAUCAAAAUCCAGAAAAGAGCUGUUAAAUUCUACAACCACUUAAAAGGAAGCGAUUCCCAAACCUUCCAUAACAAAGCCAUCACCUACAGAGAGAUGAACCUGGAGAAGAGUCCCCUAAGCAAGCUGGUCCUGGGGCUCUGUUCACAAACACAAACACACCCCACAGAGCCCCAGGACAGCAACACAAAUAGACCCAACCAACCAAAUCAUGAGAAAACAAAAAGAUAAUUACUUGACACAUUGGAAAGAAUGAACAAAAAAACAGAGCAAACUAGAAUGCUAUUUGGCCUUAAACAGAGAGUACACAGCGACAGAAUACCUGACCACUGUGACUGACCCAAAAUUAAGGAAAGCUUUGACUAUGUACAGACUCAGUGAGCAUAGCCUUGCUAUUGAGAAAGGCCGCCGUAGGCAGACAUGGCUCUCAAGAGAAGACAGGCUAUGUGCUCACUGCCCACAAAAUGAGGUGGAAACUGAGCUGCACUUCCUAACCUCCUGCCCAAUGUGACCAUAUUAGAGAGACAUAUUUCCCCCAGAUCACACAGA